rnacentral:snRNA from 1 species
UGUUGGGGUCUGGCUGCAGCAUCUGUCACCCCAUUGAUUGACAGGCUGGCUCCAUUAGUUCUGGCUGGCUAGUCCAGGGUCUUCCUCCCCUACCUUUCCAUCUGCCUCUUCUUGGGCUGUAUGCUGUCAAAGGGGGCACUCUUACCUAAUAGAGUGAGCCAUUCUUCAGUGAAGAGAGUAAGCUCACCUGUUUCAAAAACCCCUUCCAUGAUCAAUAGUUCUGACAUAUACCUCUGUCCUGAGAACGUACUCUACUGGAUGCGGUG